UGUCGUCAGCUCGUGUUGUGAAAUGUUGGGUUAAGUCCCGCAACGAGCGCAACCCUUAUCCUUUGUUGCCAGCGAUUAGGUCGGGAACUCAAAGGAGACUGCCAGUGAUAAACUGGAGGAAGGUGGGGAUGACGUCAAGUCAUCAUGGCCCUUACGACCAGGGCUACACACGUGCUACAAUGGCGCAUACAAAGAGAAGCGACCUCGCGAGAGCAAGCGGACCUCAUAAAGUGCGUCGUAGUCCGGAUUGGAGUCUGCAACUCGACUCCAUGAAGUCGGAAUCGCUAGUAAUCGUGGAUCAGAAUGCCACGGUGAAUACGUUCCCGGGCCUUGUACACACCGCCCGUCACACCAUGGGAGUGGGUUGCAAAAGAAGUAGGUAGCUUAACCUUCGGGAGGGCGCUUACCACUUUGUGAUUCAUGACUGGGGUGAAGUCGUAACAAGGUAACCGUAGGGGAACCUGCG
rnacentral:rRNA from 1 species